rnacentral:rRNA from 1 species
UACGGAGGGUGCAAGCGUUGCUCGGAAUUAUUGGGCGUAAAGGGUAGGUAGGUGGUCUCAUUUGUCUGAGGUGAAAGCCUUGAGCUUAACUCAAGAAGUGCCUCAGAAACGGUGAGACUGGAGUCCUGGAGAGGGUCGUGGAAUUCCCGGUGUAGCGGUGAAAUGCGUAGAGAUCGGGAGGAACACCAGAGGCGAAAGCGGCGACCUGGACAGGAACUGACACUCAACUACGAAAGCGUGGGGAGCAAACAGG